GACGAACGCUGGCGGCGUGCUUAACACAUGCGAGUCGAACGGAAAGGCCCUGCUUUUGUGGGGUGCUCGAGUGGCGAACGGGUGAGUAACACGUGAGUAACCUGCCCUUGACUUUGGGAUAACUUCAGGAAACUGGGGCUAAUACCGGAUAGGAGCUCCUGCUGCAUGGUGGGGGUUGGAAAGUUUCGGCGGUUGGGGAUGGACUCGCGGCUUAUCAGCUUGUUGGUGGGGUAGUGGCUUACCAAGGCUUUGACGGGUAGCCGGCCUGAGAGGGUGACCGGCCACAUUGGGACUGAGAGACGGCCCAGACGCCUACGGGAGGCAGCAGUGGGGAAUAUUGCACAAUGGGCGGAAGCCUGAUGCAGCAACGCCGCGUGCGGGAUGACGGCCUUCGGGUUGUAAACCGCUUUCGCCUGUGACGAAGCGUGAGUGACGGUAAUGGGUAAAGAAGCACCGGCUAACUACGUG
rnacentral:rRNA from 1 species